GAUGAACGCUGGCGGCGUGCCUAACACAUGCAAGUCGAGCGCGGUCCCUUUGGUGCUUGCACCAAAGACGACUGAGCGGCGGACGGGUGAGUAACGCGUGGGUAACCUGCCCUGUACAUAUGGAUAACAUGCUGAAAAGCAUACUAAUACAUAAUAACGUACAUUGAAGGCAUCUUCAGUGUAUCAAAGCGUUAGCGGUACAGGAUGGACCCGCGUCUGAUUAGCUAGUUGGUGGGGUAAAAGCCUACCAAGGCGACGAUCAGUAGCCGACCUGAGAGGGUGACCGGCCACAUUGGGACUGAGACACGGCCCAA
rnacentral:rRNA from 1 species